AUGAGAAGUCCAUAUGUUCAGUUUUGGGAAAGUAUACCUGCCGCUGAAAGAACAGGGAAAAGACCGUUUCAUUUACGCCAAGGUUGCCCUGAUGCUGAUCACCAGCGGGGCGUUGCCAGUAGCAUGCCGCCUGGCCAGCUCUGCAACUACACGGUUAAGGAGGAGAUAGGUCGAGGGUUUGAUAAUGGACAUAACACAGCUACUGGAGAGGAGAUUAAAAUAUGGAAGAUAGUAACAGAGGAGGAAGCUGAGGCUGGUAGAUCAAUUGAGCAAGAGUCCCGUACCCAGCAAACAAUGCAGAGAAACAAGAGUAACAAGUACGGAGUAAUAGAUCGUAUAAAUGUAUGGUGGUGA
rnacentral:rRNA from 1 species